GAGGGACCGGAAAAGAAAGACAGUGAUGGCACUGGUAAGGAGAACACUGGUGGCCGGUUGGAGAGGAGUAAGGUCAUCGGAGGUGGAGAAAAUGGGAGGAAUCGAGGGUGACCUCUUCCGGCGGUCCAUCUGCAGAGCUGUAGGUUGUGGUGGUGGGCUCCUUUGAAAUUUUGGCAACAGAUAUUUUGUGGACUGAGCAGAUAGAGUAAAGACUGGAAGUGGUGGAGGUUCUUAAGGAAAGUUGACUAGAAUGUGAAAUGAAAAGUGGAGAUAAAGAGGGGAAAAGGUAGUUUGACGGGAGAUGCAAAGUGUGUUGGGAAAUUAUCAUCACGGGGUAAAAUGAAGAAGAAACAAACAACCAGAAUAUCAAGAAGAUGAAAAAAGAAAAGAUGAAGAAGAAAACGAAUAUAAACAUGUGAUCGUUGUCCUCAAACGAUAUUCGCCCCCUCACGAUAUGAUUUUGGUGCUUAAAGAGUUUCACGGCAAACGAUUUGUAGGAUUAAUCAAGUCUUGUAAAGAAUCAAUACUUAAACACUUGUAUAAAUUCUCCAAAACUUGAAGAACACAAAGGGAAUAUUGAAUAUAGAUAAAGAAGACUUUGAUUUCUUCUUGUGGAAUGAAGAUUAUGAUCACAAAUGUAUUCAAGUGUUUUUCUUAAUGUUAGAAUGAUCAUCAACCAUCCAUUUAUAGCUAUGAAACAUUGCUAUACGAAGUGGUGCCACCAAAGUAUAAGUGAAAGGCUGCCAAAUUUGAAUCAAAAACCGUCUCCAACGGCUAAUUCCAUCCUCUAUGCGACCGCAUAGUCCAACAAUAUGCGGCCGCACAGUUUAUCUCAAACUGGGCAAGAUUAUUUCUGCAAGUAUCCAUGCGACCGCAUGGGCUACAAAGACCACAUUUACAGCCAUCAUCACCAUUUCAUUCCACACUCAAUAUUUUACUGAUUUUGAACAAUAUUUCCAUCAAUCCCCCACUUGUUCAAAACUUCAAUAAAGUCUCAUAUUUAAAGUAUACAGUACUCAUAAGUAAGUAUUAGAUAUCUUUCAAUUUGAAUCUAACCAUAGUGUAAUCAUUUUAUGUAUUUUUAGUCUGGAGUCAGUUAAAUGCGGUCCAAAUGCAACUUAUUGAUUGAUAUUGAAUUAUUAUGAUAUGAGAUAUUUUUAAUUCUAUAUGAAUUGCCUUAGAUUUUAUGAAGAAAAAGGGCAAAAAAGGAUACAUGACUCAUAUAUGAUAGUUGAUGCAGCUAAAUUGGAGACACACCGAGAACUUAUCUGAAAGAAUCUGUCGAUUGAGUGAAGCCUCAAUAGUAGUUGUGAAUUUGUAAAGAAUCAUUGCAAUCACUCCGGCCGAUAAUUCUCCCAACAGUGCCUGGACAGGCCAAGGCGCAGCCUUGGUGGUAACUGGUGACAGAGACACUGCUCUCAAGCUCUUCAGGACCUCUUCCUUCAACGAUUUCUUUGCCCCUGAUGACCUGAAUCUCUAAUAAGAGAAAAUGGGCAAAUAUUCAGAAUAUAUAUAUUAGAACUCCAGAACAAAAACACCCUACACUCUCUACAUUCAAUUUAAUCUCAAGAACAGAAAAUCAUAUGUGAGGCUGGAUUAAGCAACGCAAUGUCACUGCAUGAACAAUGAAUGCCACAUACAACUUCCAAAGCGAACUGCAUUAAUUAAUGAAGGUCCUAAGUUUGAACUAUCCUAAUCUAUCAUCUAAAAAUUGAAUCUUGCUAAUUAAAUAUGAACAUAAAUCUACUACUAAUUUAAUCUUAUCAAACAAUUGAACUUGUGUACCCUAUGAAUCACAAAAUAAGAAUUUGCUAAUUAUUUGGAAAUUCUGAUUACAACACUCAACAUUUGAGUAUGCAUACACAAGCAAACAAAGUAAGUUCAAUUCCUUUAUGAGCCAAAAAAGAAGGAAAAGCAAAACAAGCCCUUGGUGAGUAUAAAUACCGUUUCUUUGGCACGCUUGGCGCGGCAGCGGAGGGACCGGAAAAGAAAGACAGUGAUGGCACCGUAAGGAGAGGAGCAGGGUCGUUGGAGGUGGAGAAAAUGGGAGGAAUUGAGGGUGAGAAUUCAACGGGUCCCUCUUCCGGCGGUGCAUCUGCAGAGCUGUAGGUCGUGGUGGUGGGCUCCUCUGAAAUUUUGGCAACAGAUAUUUUGUGGACAGAGCAGAUAAAGACUGGAAGUGGUGGAGGUUCUUCAGGAAAGUUGACUAGGUUGUGAAAUGAAAAGUGGAGAUAAAGAGGGGAAAAGGUAGUUUGAGGGAAGAUGCAAAGUGUUCCGAAAGUGCAACAUUUGUAGAGGUUUUGGUUUACAGUUGAGGAUUGGAAGGGCUCAUGGC
rnacentral:lncRNA from 1 species